CUCAAUCCCAUCCCCGUGGCUGUGCCUGCGACGCUGAGAGCCCCAAACACAGGGGAGGAGCUGCUCCUGAAACACGGUUGCUGUGGAGGUUAUGGGGGAAGACCAGGAAUUCAGAAACAGGAGUAAAAUAGCCCAGAGUCUUGUUCUGUCACUCAGGUUGGAGCACAGUGGCACAAUCUCAGCUCACUAUAACUUCUACCUCCUGGGUGCAUGCGAUUCUCCUGCCUCAGCUUCUCAAGUUUCUGGGAUUACAGCCAAACUUCCAGAUGAAUGUUCUACAACUGUGCUUCUAUUUCCUUUUAACCGAUCCUCCUGAUAUUUCUUUGGUGUCGAUGUCACCUGUCAACUGACCUGCCUUUUUGAAAGUCACAAUGGCAUUAAAGAAUCUUGGCACGGAAAGGAAACAGCCUGGUGCAAAUGUGUCUUUUCUUGGCCUGCAGGCCUCCUUACUAUUCUGCAGUGUAUCCCAGCUGGCCACCCGCCUCCUUCACUUUCUCUUUAUCUUGACUUCUCUGAUAUGAUAGAAAGCUCUCUUGGUCCUUUUACCUUUGUGAAUAAGACCUCGCCAUUCUAUUUGCAACUACACAUUUUUCCUCCUGUCCUAUAGGUGGGUGUUCCCCAGUUCUCAGGCUUUUAUAAUGUGUCCUUUCUUUAAUUCCUCUGGAAGACCUCAUUCUUAUUAUGGCUUUAACUGACACCUCUUAUCCAUCUUUCUGCCUUACCUUCUUCCUGUGUCCUUAUCCCAUAUUUCUGGCUGAAAACACAAACUACUCACCAGGACUUGAAAUAUUUGCUUGUUGUACUUACUACCACCUCAGACUCAACAGGUGUAAAGCAUGAACGACGAACUUUGUGCUUCCC